rnacentral:rRNA from 1 species
GUGCCAGCAGCCGCGGUAAUACGAAGGGGGCUAGCGUUGUUCGGAAUUACUGGGCGUAAAGCGCACGUAGGCGGAUCAUUUAGUCAGGGGUGAAAUCCCGGGGCUCAACCUCGGAACUGCCUUUGAUACUGAUGGUCUCGAGUCCGAUAGAGGUGAGUGGAAUUCCUAGUGUAGAGGUGAAAUUCGUAGAUAUUAGGAAGAACACCAGUGGCGAAGGCGGCUCACUGGAUCGGUACUGACGCUGAGGUGCGAAAGCGUGGGGAGCAAACAGGAUUAGAAACCCCGGUAGUCC